rnacentral:lncRNA from 1 species
GUCCUGCAGCGAUGAUAGAUAGAUACAGGUGUUGGGAGAAAGGCGGUUGUGGGGGACUGGCUGUGACCACCAUGGUAAGUCUGCCAGAAGCCCUCCUGUCACCAACCCAUCUGGCUCCAUGUAGAGAUGGAGUGUUUGACUUCUUCCUCUGGAGGUCUAAAGCCUAUGGAAUGGUCUUUAGACCCUGGAGAUUGAGCUGCUGUGAAAACAGAAAACACCCAUCUUCCAAGAAGCCAAAAGACACCGAACAUGUAGAUGCCUAAAGAAGAG